GGAACAUCCAAAAGGGUUUCAAGUCAUAUGAUUCAUUCUCUUAUUCAAAACUCAAAGAAAGUUCAAAUGGAAUUUCAAAGUUUAUUACAAGUCAUUACCAUUUUUAUUCAUAACUCAAGAUACAAGUUUCAAUAUCCAUUCUCAUUCAAGGAUCAAAAUCUCAAAGGGAUAUUCAAGUUUCACAUCAUUCAAGGUUUCAAAGUUCCUUCCAUUCCUAUCAAUCCAAGUUACAAGGAAUUUAUCCAUACCAAUUCAAGAAUUCAAUUUGGUCUUUAUAAGAAAAUACAAAGAGUUUCACUGUUAUGUUACAAAUCAUUUCACAAGGAUUACAAAGAAGUUUUGGUUUUUAAAAACUACAAUGGCUUUCAAUUCCUAAGCUUAAAUUUCAAAUGA